rnacentral:rRNA from 1 species
UUCCGUAGGUGAACCUGCGGAAGGAUCAUUACCGAAUUACAAGUCGCUUGGCUGUGCUGGUGGCCUUCAGGUCGCAUGUGCACGUCAGUCGCAAAUCCACACACCAGUGCACCUUAGACUUUGGGAUUCGCCGGCCUUCACGGUCGGCAGUCGGUCUCCCACCCGUGGGUUGACCUGGAUCCUGGAGUACUUUACACAAACUCUUGAAUGGAAUGGAAUGUUGACUUGUGCUUAUGCACUUAUUGACAUAUAACUUUCAACAACGGAUCUCUUGGCUCUCGCAUCGAUGAAGAACGCAGCGAAAUGCGAUAAGUAAUGUGAAUUGCAGAAUUCAGUGAAUCAUCGAAUCUUUGAACGCACCUUGCACCCUUUGGUAUUCCGAAGGGUACGCCCGUUUGAGUGUCAUUGUAAUCUCACACCCCAAGAUUCUUGUCGAGGGGAUAGUGGAUCUGGAUGCUGCCGUGUAACGACGGCUCAUCCGAAAUACAUGAGUGUAACCUGCGGAUCAGUGUUAUCUGACGUGAUAAGCAUCUUCGUCGGAGUCGAGGGAAACCAACCUUGGCACUGUGUCUGUGGGCUCUAUGCUGCAAACCGUCCUCGGACAAACCUUUGACAAUUUGGCCUCAGAUCGGGUGGGACUACCCGCUGAACUUAAGCAUAUCAAUAAGCGGAGGAAAAGAAACUAACAAGGAUUCCCCUAGUAACGGCGAGUGAAGAGGGAAGAGCUCAAAUUUUGAAUCUGGCGUCCUUGGGCGUCCGAGUUGUAAUCUAGAGAAGUGUUUUCCGCGUCGGACCGUGCACAAGUUCCCUGGAACGGGGCGUCAUAGAGGGUGAGAAUCCCGUAUAUGGCACGGAUUACCUUUGCUUCAUGUGAUACACUCUCGACGAGUCGAGUUGUUUGGGAAUGCAGCUCAAAAUGGGUGGUAAAUUCCAUCUAAAGCUAAAUAUUGGCGAGAGACCGAUAGCGAACAAGUACCGCGAGGGAAAGAUGAAAAGCACUUUGGAAAGAGAGUGAAACAGUACGUGAAAUUGUUGGAAGGGAAGCGUUUGAAGUCAGUCGCACCCCUCUGGACUCAGCCGUUGCUUCUGCUCGGUGUACUUCCUGUUGGGUGGGUCAGCGUCAGUUCGGACCAAGGGAGAAAGGUUGGAGGAAUGUGGCAGUCUUCGGGCUGUGUUAUAGCCUCCUACUGUAUGCCUUGGCCUGGACUGAGGACGGCAGCGCGCCUUUUUGGCCGGGGUUCGCGCCCUCGGUACGCGCUUAGGAUGCUGGCAUAAUGGCUUUAAGCGACCCGUCUUG